GAAAGGGGAUGCGGUUAACAUUCCACAGGUAGGCGUUGCAGAGUGGCGACACUAGCAACUGCAAGACGGCGGGGACGUCCCGGGGAGAGUUCUCUUUUCUGCUUAACACCAUGACUGUCUGGAAGGCCUUUACGGCGAGAGAGACGCUAGUGGUGGAAGAGCAGCACACUCUUAGUGCUGUCCGGAGUGCUGUUCACGCCCCUUGAAAA
rnacentral:rRNA from 1 species